rnacentral:lncRNA from 1 species
UUUUUGACAGCUAUCAUCAUUUUGAUCAUCAUCCUGAUCCUGAUUGGUUUUCUGCUUGGCAUUUUGUAUUGUCUGAGAAAGAAAGGAAGGAGUUACUCAUUUGAUCUGACUCGUGUCGACGUAGUUGCCAAUGAUUACGUUGACACCCCGCUCAGGAGCGACCAACAAGGCAUAAGCUAUGAACAAACUAACAAAGAUCUGCCUGUGUGUUUGGACUAUGUACAAGAGGACAAGUCAGAGGAGAAGACUAAUCCCAAAGCAAAUGGGUCUGCAGAAGAGGAAACUGAACAAACACCCACCAAUGAAAAUGAUUAUCAGAAUGUUCCAGAAGAGAACAGUUUCUCUUCAAACUCGAGCUUGGCUGCACCCAUGAAGAACGAGGAGUUUAACCUAUACCUAAAUCUGCUUGGAGGUGAAGCUGACUUAAACGAUUCGACCGAAGCUGAAGCCACCGAUACGGCGCAAAAUGAAAACAACAAUAAUGUCAGUAAUGCUGGGCGGGGAACAGCAGAAGAGAUCUUCACUGAAAUCAGUCUAGACGAGCCAAAGGAACAUGCAUAGUGUGUGUUUCCAAUGCAACAGUCAAGAUCUCGGGUGUUUGGUACCUAGAUUCAAACUAUAUCUGUUCAAGAUGCCUUGAUCCGGACUAUAUGAGUGCAAAAGCAUCCUUUUGCCAUUCUCACUUCAAGUUCUGUUUCAUCUACUGUUAAAGGAGAUUGUAUACUGUUCAUAAAAAAAAGAACAUUGAAUCAUUGGUUAAAGUUUAUGUAAAAAUUGUUAGUAUACAAAUUCUGUAUAAAAUAAUUUGUGGCUAUAAUAAACAUUCACUGUAGAAUGCACUGUGUAAUGCA